AACAGAACGGAAAACCGUAAG
rnacentral:snRNA from 1 species